AAAUGAUGAGAACACACAAAACAGCUGGAAUUACCGGCAGAUUGUGUAGUGGUGAACUUACGGUUUUCUGAGG
ensembl:snoRNA